UAGUGGAAGGAAAUGUUUUCAUGCUGAAAGAAAGAAAAAUUCAGUACAGCUAGAUAAAGGUCAAGAAAAAAUCUCCCACAACUCUGCAGUGACUGAGUUGAAGAAUAGAAUUAGGUUGUGAUCAAGGGCAACAAAUGAUAAUGGUAGAGAUAUGAAAGGGAAAAAUAAACAAGAUAGGAGAAAUGCAAUAUGGUCCUGCUAAUAUUGACAAUGUUCCCAAGAAUUCAGCCACAGGGAGGAGAACCAAAGUCACAUAACCUGUGAUCAUAAUCUCUUAAGGGUAAAUAAAGAAGGAACAGGAGGAUUUCUAUACAAACAUUCCACAAAAUAACACUUUUUUAAAAGCCUUAACGUGGAUUAUCUGUAAAAUGACCACGAUGCCCAAGUCCAUCAGUUUAGAAGCUAUAUUUCUUGAGGAUAGGAACGAGUUUGCCUCCUGAUAAAAACAGCAUUCCCAUGUCAUCCUCAGGGCUCUGUCACUGCUGUGGUAGUAAGUGCAGAGGAGGCCAAAGGAGAUCGGGAUAACAGAAAACAGCUCCUUAUAAAGGAGGGCAACACCUGUUUUACAAUUGCUUUUAAUGUCCAGAGGAAUAGUUACAUUACUUCCUUACUGAAUUGAAUAUCCUGAAUUGAUUCUCUCUUCUGUGGUAUUCUGUAGCAAGAUGCAUGUUCUGCCUUAUGUGACUGCUGUUGAUGUACUUGUUUAAUUUACUUGUUCUUAUUUACUUUUAUAAAUUUCAUAAGAUUAUAUAUACAUGAAUUUUGAGGUCUGUAGUAGGUAGAAUAAUGCCUCUCCCAAACAUGUCCAUACCCUGAUUCCUGGAAUCUGUGAAUCAGUUAUAUCACAGGGCAAACGGUUCUGUGUAGAUGUGAUGAAGGAUAUGGUCCUUCAGAUGGGGAGGGUGAAUUGUAUUGUCCAGCUGGAUCCAAUCUAAUCACAGGCGUCCUUAAAAAAAAAAAAAAAGGUGAGAACCUUGCCUGGUGGGUCAGAGGGUUACGAGAGAGUUUCUGCUGAAAGUUGAUGGUUUUCAAGAUGGAGGAAGGGGCUGGGAGGUGAGGAAUGUGGUGGCUUCUAGAAGUUGAGAAUGGCCCUCAGUUUAUAGAGAGCAAGAAAGGGGAACCUCAGUCCUACAACUGCAGGGAACUGAGUUCUGCCAACAACCUGAAUGAGCUAAAAAACAGACUCCAAAAAGGUACUUAGCCAUGUAAAUCUUGAUUUUCACCCUGUGGGAUGAGCAACGGACUUUCCACCUAUAGAGCCAGAAGAUAUAAAUUGCUCUCCAGACAGUAUGAUGAUACCCAUUUCCAGAAGAGUAGAAGUUACUCCCUGAGUGGAGACCCAUCAAGGUUUAUUGGACAGAAAUAAAUUAAUUCUUCCACUUACGGAAUUCCAAGAAAGAACACAGAAAAUGCUCUGGAUGUCAGAAUAAAUACUUUCCGAUGACCCAUCUUCAAGUUCAUUGACUGACCUUUUCUUCUGCAAUCACCAAUUGACUCUUAAGGAUCCAAGCCACAGUGAUGUCUUGUCUGGAUUAUUCAUCACAUUGGUCUCCCAGGUUCAACUUUUACCCUUUCAACCUACUCUCCCAAGAAGCCACAAAAAUGAUCUGAAAAUGAAACUCCUAUCGUAGGAGCAAGGUACUGCAAGACGCUUCCCACUUAAAACCUUUGGCUUUCCAUGACUGACAGGGUUCUGCAUGGUUGGCCCUUGCUUUCCUUUCCAAUGCUUUAUUUUUCUAGCCACUGGACCCAUUGCACUGGUCAUACACUAAAUUCUCCCAUCUCCGGGCCUUCAAAUUUACUCUUUUCCUGUCCUUUGAUGUGAGUG